CAUCUCCUAACCAGUGGAUUAUGAUUUCAAGUAGUAGGAUUUUUCCAGAUGUGAAGCCUAGGGAGAGCAGGCUGACUUGUAGGGAGGUGAAAAAUCAGAUGGUUAAAACUAUACCGAAGUCCUUUACUCUCUCAAGUUGCUUCCUCUGGGGCACAUCUCAGUGAUCCAAGAGUGCAAUGGAAAGCUACUUCCUGGUCUCCGUUGCAUCUCCCCUCCCAAUUUUUCCAACAGAGAGAUCUUCAGGCAUGGUGGAUGGAGCACAGGCCAAGGGGUCAGAAGGAUCUGGGUCCACAUUCUGGUUCUGACAGAUAAAAGCCUGUAUGAUCCAGGGACAAGUUGGAGCUAUGUAUCCAGCCCUGGGAGAAACACUUCAAAAGGGACACUGAAAGAUGAGAAAAUAUUCAGAAAAGGACCUCAAUCCAACUGCACUUCCUCAUCGUGUGGGAUUCUUGUCCAUUGCUUUGUGAACAUCUCUGCAGGAUCCACCCAGUGACCUGGAGCCUGUGCUCUAGUUCUUUCAUUUUACAGUGUACAGUUCAGAGAGGGAUCUGCUUGUUGUGUAACAUCUGGACCUAACUCCAAGCUAAAAAAAAAUGCCAACCUGGACCGUUCAGUCCAAUCCAUCAUCCUUUCUUCAACAGCUACAUUUUGGGGAUAAACAUGCUAGCUUCUUACCUUCCAAGGUUCAGAAGUACAUUUAAACAUCCUCAACUUCCCUACUGGGGAUCAACUAUGGACAAAUUUAAUUGAAGCUCUUAAUGAAUCGCGCCCCACGUUUUGGCCAAGGCAACUUCUUGGUUGUAGGAGAUUUCCAGAAGUAUUUUUGU